rnacentral:rRNA from 1 species
AGAACGACUCUCGGCAACGGAUAUCUCGGCUCUCGCAUCGAUGAAGAACGUAGCGAAAUGCGAUACUUGGUGUGAAUUGCAGAAUCCCGUGAACCAUCGAGUCUUUGAACGCAAGUUGCGCCCUAAGCCAUUUGGCCGAGGGCACGUCUGCCUGGGCGUCAAU